ACCAUCAGCGACUCAGAGCUGCCCUUCGCUGCGCCCCCUGCUCCCCCUAAAGCAGCAGCAGCAGCAGCAACAGCCACAGCAGGUGUACAGCUGGCCCUACCCUCCACAACCACAGCAGUUCCAGUACCCUUAUGAUGCAGCUGAGGGGACUGACACUGCCACCACCACCACCACCACUGCCACCACCGCCACAACAAGGGUUAUUCAGGUGUUGCCCCAAUAUGCUUCAACCCCACAGCCCCACUCCCCCAUGACAGUGCAGGCAGGGAAUGUCAUACAGGUUGUUCCAGGGAGGUGGAGGUGGGCCACACACACCUGGGUUACCUGUGGCUUGGCUGAUCUCCCUCCUCCAGCAGCAAAUCCCAAGAAUCAACGAGGACAUUGUGGACCCAGAGAUUGCAACAGCAGCAAGAGAGAGAGAGAAGCAAGAGAGGAGGGAGAGGAAGGAGAGGAGGAGGAGAGAGAGAGGGAAGCCAGGAGGGAGGCACGUCAGAGAGAGAGGGAGAGGAAGAGGUUGAUUCUAUUACAACAACAACUGCAACAACAACAACAGUUAGUCAGUGAGGAGGGGGAGGGGCCGUCCUCUGAUGCUGAGGAUGAGGUAUUGUUCAGGCAGUACACAGGAGACAAGGAUGGGAGCUACUCUCCCCCUCCCCCUCCAGGGUCGCCGCCCCCUUCACUGCAUUGAAGUUGUACCCAGGCUACACCCACUACACCUUCACAGCUCCCAGCACUGCAGUUAUAUACACACAGCCUUCCCCACAGCAAUAUGCUUACAACCAAGUGGCAGCCAUCCCAGGGAGGGUCGUGGUGGCCAACCAGGGGGGAGCAACAACCCCCACCAACCCCCCCACAGGGAUGUUCAGUUACCCUGGGUAUGUGUACACCACCCUCUACUCCCCUUCCCCCUCCCCUGCCUCCACUAUGUUCUUCCACCAGCAACA